AACACAUGCAAGUCGAGGGGCAGCAUGAUCUUAGCUUGCUAAGAUGAUGGCGACCGGCGCACGGGUGAGUAACGCGUAUCCAACCUUCCCUAUAGUAGAGGAUAGCCCGGCGAAAGUCGGAUUAAUACUCUAUGUUAUUCAAUGCGGACAUCUAAGUUGAAUCAAAGGUUUAACCGCUAUAGGAUGGGGAUGCGUCUGAUUAGGUUGUUGGCGGGUAACGGCCCACCAAGCCAUCGAUCAGUAGGGGUUCUGAGAGGAAGGUCCCCCACAUUGGAACUGAGACACGGUCCAAACUCCUACGGGAGGCAGCAGUGAGGAAUAUUGGUCAAUGGGCGCGAGCCUGAACCAGCCAAGUAGCGUGGAAGGGGAUGACUGCCCUAUGGGUUGUAAACCUCUUUUGUUUGGGAAUAAAGUGAGCCACGUGUGGCUUUUUGUAUGUACCUUACGAAUAAGCAUCGGCUAAUUCCGUGCCAGCAGCUGC
rnacentral:rRNA from 1 species